rfam:Phalacrocorax carbo contig159864, whole genome shotgun sequence.
CCAAAGGCUUUUUUAAAAGCCAUUCCAUGCAGAAUAAAAAUUUAAU